UCCGAUGGUGAACCUGCGGAAGGAUCAUUACCGAGUGAGGGCCCUCUGGGUCCAACCUCCCACCCGUGUUUAUCGUACCUUGUUGCUUCGGCGAGCCCGCCUCACGGCCGCCGGGGGGCAUCCGCCCCCGGGCCCGCGCUCGCCGAAGACACCAUUGAACUCUGUCUGAAGAUUGCAGUCUGAGUGAUUAACUAAAUCAGUUAAAACUUUCAACAACGGAUCUCUUGGUUCCGGCAUCGAUGAAGAACGCAGCGAAAUGCGAUAAGUAAUGUGAAUUGCAGAAUUCAGUGAAUCAUCGAGUCUUUGAACGCACAUUGCGCCCCCUGGUAUUCCGGGGGGCAUGCCUGUCCGAGCGUCAUUGCUGCCCUCAAGCACGGCUUGUGUGUUGGGCCCCGCCCCCCGGUUUCGGGGGGCGGACCCGAAAGGCAGCGGCGGCACCGCGUCCGGUCCUCGAGCGUAUGGGGCUUCGUCACCCGCUCUGCAGGCCCGGCCGGCGCCCGCCGGCGACCCCAAUCAAUCUAUCCAGGUUGACCUCGGAUCAGGUAGGGAUACCCGCUGAACUUAAGCAUAUCAAUAAGCGGAGGA
rnacentral:rRNA from 1 species